rnacentral:piRNA from 1 species
UGAGUGUAUAAAUAAGAAACAAAUUCUACUU